CCAUAUAUAUAACACCCAAGACCUUCGUGCAGAACCGAUGUGGAAUGCAUCAUUCUCGACCCUUUUAGACUGAACGUCCUCGUGAAGUAAUCAGAGUCAUGAUUUGUUCACCUCGACGUCUGUCGAAGAAUAGUAGGGAACCUUUGUACGUGGCCUACUGACUCAUAUAGACUGAGGCUCUGAUAUCAAAAUUGAUGCGAACAU
rnacentral:misc_RNA from 1 species